GGAUUGUAGGCUGAAACUCGCCUACAUGAAGCUGGAAUUGCUAGUAAUCACAGGUCAGCAUACUGUGGUGAAUACGUUCCCGGGCCUUGUACACACCGCCCGUCACACCAUGAGAGUCGGGAACACCCGAAGUCCGUAGUCUAACCGCAAGGGGGGCGCGGCCGAAGGUGGGUCCGGUAAUUGGGGUGAAGUCGUAACAAGGUAAC
rnacentral:rRNA from 1 species